CGAAAUCUCUUAGAUUUUCCCCAAAAUAGUUCCCCUCCCUGAAAUCCAUAAUUCUUUUUCCAAACCUCCUUUUUUUCCCAAUUUUAUUUCCCCAAAUUAGUUUCCCUCCCCGAAAUCCCUAAGUUUUUUUUUCCCCAAUUCCCUUUCUUCUUUUUUUCCCAAAUCAAUUCCCCUCCUUGAAGUCCCUAACUUUUUUCCCCAACGUCUGCUACAUCACCGUCGACUGUCCUCUACUUUAUCGGCGUCAAUAGUCCUCUAUUGCAUCGCCGUGUAAGUUUGUAUUUUUUUCUUUUUUUUUGUUUGUUAAUUUUUUUCUAAUGUUUCAAAUCCUAACCCACAGCAACAGUAACCCAGAAAAGAGAGAGAGAGGGGAGACAAACCCAGUAAUCUGGUAAUUUUUCAUUUCAUUCUAUUAAUUUUUUAUAUCUACUUUUUUUUUAAAUUUCGGAUAAUGUUAUAUUAAAUGAUGAUAUUAUUGAACCCUAUUGAUAACCCGCAUGCUAAAUGAAUUAUUUCAACUUAUAUUGGGUUUUACUUUGAAACAAAUUCCAUGGGUUGGUAUAUGGAUUAAUUUGCAGUAAACUAUCAUAAGAAGAGUUUAGUUUCUGUUUGUUUUAUACAAUUAAUUGAAAAGUAUAUUGUUUUAUGCACUGUCAUAUGAUUGUUAGAUAUCAAUUGCCUAUUUAUGCAUGGUAAAUUUAUAUUAUACACUUUUUAGCUUACAUGUAGCUUUGCUUUUCAUUUGAUGGAUUCUUUUGGUUCAAAUUUAUAAAGUAUGAAAUUGAAAUUUUGGAAUGGGAAUUAGUAGUAGCUAAUAAUAAAAAAAGAAAAAAAUGCAGUACUAUAAAGUGAAGAAGAAGGACAAAGGGCAGUGAAUAUUUGGAAGGGAGAGCAGUGGUCUACUGUUUUACAGUUUUAUUCAUUUAAGAAUUGUUGGUCUUAUUCAAACUCUUAUUGUGAUUGUUGAAUGCAAUGUUCUUUGAUCUUCAGGUGCACUAUCUAUUGAAAGAAAUUGUAAGAAAAUCGAUUGCUGAAACACAGUAAACAGUUCUUGCUGCAGUAUUUUGCAUAUGAUAUAUGAAUAUUUUAAGCCUUGGAAAUGGAAGUUAGCUAAAUUUGUUCUUAAUUAUCUUGUGGUUUUCUUAGUUGGCAAAUUAGUACUAAAGAAUACAAGUUAAAUAUUAUUUAUGAAAGAUUGCAAGAAUCUAUGCAAGAAAAUAGAUCAUAGGUUGUUUUCUGCCAAGUGCCAACUUCUGUGUCAUAAUUCAAGUGUUUUUAGUUUUCAAAUAAAAGGAAGAGUUUUCAUCAAUAUUUUAUUCCAUAUGGUUAAAAUGAAAGAUAUACUGUCUUAAUUGUAUAAAAACUAGACUUUCUCAAGCUGAAAUUAUCUCUAUAGCUGAUAUACAUAUACAACAUGGCAAAGGUGUUGGAGAUAGUAGGUAAAACUUGAAGGUUAAAAUAGUAAUAAAAAAAAUAGCUAAAAAAUAAGUACUUCUUUGUGAUUAAUAAUCAUGCCGGGUUUUUUUAGUUAUCUAAGACAUAUUUUUGAUAGAAAAGUGUUGAAGUUUAGAGCCAUACAUGUAGUAUUAAAGGUUAACCCUUUAAAAAGAAAGAUUAUAUAUACAUAUACAACAUGAAUUAGUGUAAAAUGAAAAAAAAGGUUGAAGUUGAGCAGGUGUAGACAAUAUUUCAUUCUUUAUACAUCUCCCUUUCUUGCUCUCUGGUGCCCUUCUGUUUUUCAGCUGGUGUUCCAUGCACCACAGUUCCUUUCGAAGAAUGAAAAUUGAAGCUUUUUCUUUCCGUCUUUCUUUGUUCAGUUUGUCUUAUUAUUAUUAUUAUUAUUAUUAUUACAUUUGGAGCUUCAUAAAGUUGGCACAAGUGCUGACUAAUGGUUGCUGGAGUUAUUUGAAUGUUGCCCAAUCUUCAUUUCUUACUUCUAAUGCUGUAACUAUUUCCGUUGAAUUUUGAUGCCUUCUCUGAUUGCUGACCAUUCUGAAAUAGGGUUUGUCUUCAUUUUUAAUCAACAGAUUGCUUUCAUUUUUAACGUACAGCCUGACAGC
rnacentral:lncRNA from 1 species